rnacentral:rRNA from 1 species
CGAACGGGUGAGUAACACGUGGGUGAUCUGCCUUGCACUUCGGGAUAAGCUUGGGAAACUGGGUCUAAUACCGGAUAGGACAGCUGUUUAGUGUCAGUUGUGGAAAGUUUUUUCGGUGCAAGAUGAGCUCGCGGCCUAUCAGCUUGUUGGCGGGGUAAUGGCCUACCAAGGCGUCGACGGGUAGCCGGCCUGAGAGGGUGUACGGCCACAUUGGGACUGAGAUACGGCCCAGACUCCUACGGGAGGCAGCAGUGGGGAAUAUUGCACAAUGGGCGGAAGCCUGAUGCAGCGACGCCGCGUGGGGGAUGAAGGCCUUCGGGUUGUAAACUCCUUUCGACAGGGACGAAGCGUAAGUGACGGUACCUGUAUAAGAAGCACCGGUUAACUACGUGCCAGCAGCCGCGGUAAUACGUAGGGUGCGAGCGUUGUCCGGAAUUACUGGGCGUAAAGAGCUCGUAGGUGGUUUGUCGCGUCGUCUGUGAAAUUCCGGGGCUUAACUCCGGGCGUGCAGGCGAUACGGGCUGACUUGAGUGCUGUAGGGGAGACUGGAAUUCCUGGUGUAGCGGUGAAAUGCGCAGAUAUCAGGAGGAACACCGAUGGCGAAGGCAGGUCUCUGGGCAGUAACUGACGCUGAGGAGCGAAAGCAUGGGUAGCGAACAGGAUUAGAUACCCUGGUAGUCCAUGCCCGUAAACGGUGGGCGCUAGGUGUAGGGGGCUUCCACGUCUUCUGUGCCGUAGCUAACGCAUUAAGCGCCCCGCCUGGGGAGUAC